AUUAGACUCUUUGAAUUCAAAUCACUAGAAUUAGUAUUGAAUCUAUACUUUUUUGUACACUUAAAAAUGUAGAUUUCACAUUUAGUCAGUUGGGAAUAGCAAUCAAGUUUGUAGUCACUAAUAUUCUGCUAUUUAUUUAGAUCUCGUUUAUAAAAUUCCCAAAACAUAGCAUAUUAAAAUGAACUGAAAAAAAAGAUUUUGUUCAUUUGGAUACCCAUAUUUAAUCUUAAAAUAAUCUUCGUUUUGUUUGUACCAACUUUUGUACAUACUUUAACUGUAUCAAAGUCAAAAUCUCUCUUUUAAUCUGACAAAACACAAAUAUAUUUCAUUACCUUGUUUUCUCAUCAAUACUAUAUGUAAAAAAAUAAGCCUUGUAUUGCGAAAAUGGGUCUUAUUCCAAAUAUGGCCAGCAUUAUAACUAAGCUCCAGUUACCCUGCCACCAAUGAGACUUCAAAAGUUCAGGUUGGUUUGGAGCUACGCUAAAUGGCUGCAUAUGGAAUGCCGUAAUAACUCUAAGUUUUAAGACACUCUGAUUUUUAGCUCACCUGUCACGAAGUGACAUGGUGAGCUUAUGUGACCGUGUGAUGUCCGGCGUCCGUUGUGUGUGCAUGUGCGUGUGCGUGUGUGAGUCCGUCAACAAUUUGUUUGUGUAGACAGUAGAGGUCACAGUUUUCAUCCAAUCUUUAUGAAAUUUGGUCAGAAUGUUUAUCUUAAUGAAAUCUGGGUUGGGAUUGUAUUUGGGUCAUCUUGGGUCAAAAACUAGGUCACUAGGUCAAAAACUAGGUCACAUAAUAGGUCAAAUAAUAGAAAAACCUUGUGUAGACAAUAGAGGUCGCAGUUUUCAUCCAAUCUUUAUGAAAUUUGGUCAGAAUGUUUAUCUUGAUGAAAUCUGGGUUGGGAUUGUAUUUGGGUCAUCUGGGGUCAAAAACUAGGUCACUAGGUCAAAAACUAGGUCAAAUUAUAGAAAAACCUUGUGUAGACAGUAGAGGUCACAGUUUUCAUCCAAUCUUUAUGAAAUAUGGUCAGAAUGUUUAUCUUGAUAAAAUCUGGGUUUGGAUUGUAUUUGGGUCAUCUGGGGUCAAAAACUAGGUCACUAGGUCAAAAACUAGGUCAAAUAAUAGAAAAACCUUGUGUAGACAGUUGAGGUCACAGUUUUCAUCCAAUCUUAAUGAAAUUUGGUCAGAAUGUUUAUCUUGAUGAAAUCCUGGUUUGAUGCUAUUCAUAUUGCAUACCCGUAUCGGCUCAUGGAUGCAGUAUUUUAAGUGUUCUUAAUUUUUUUGAACACCUGUAUUUUUGUCUCUCAAUUUUAUUUUUGGAAUAUUUGUUGUAUAGACGAAAACAAAUAAACUUAGAGUAAUUACGGGAAGACCCAUGUUUGAAUGGACAAGUUUAAUGGUUAUUUCUUCGAAUAUUUUGUAUUUUAAUCAUGUCAGAUUGGCUAUGUGACAACUAGAUUUCUGUCUUAUAAGAGGAAUGUAUUGUUUUUUGUUGUUGUUCAAGCCACUUGUAAUAUAAUCUACCAAUAGCUUUAAGAGUGCCAGAUAUACAUUAACUAAUAUUAUGCCUUUACUCUGAUACGUACAUAACACUAUUUCUGUUUAUAAAGUAUAUUAUAAAAUAGCAUUUCGACUCAUAUAUCAUGAAAUUAUUGUUAUGCAAUUAAAAAAAAAAAAUGGGCAUAACCAUACUUUCCCUUAUUUUGUAUUGAUGUCUGAAACAGACAUUUGCUUUGUUCUUAGUUUGAUUUAACUCUUAAGAUAUACCGCUCUGCAGGGGUUUCAUUAAGAAGCAUAAGGGUAAUGUAAGUUUUAUUUUUAUGCCCCCUUUCGAAGAAGAGGGGGUAUAUUGUUUUGCACAUGUCGGUCCGUCCGUCCGUCGGUCCGUCCACCAGAUUGUUUCCGGAUGAUAACUCAAGAACGCUUAGGCCUAGGAUCAUGAAACUUCAUAGGUACAUUGAUCAUGACUGGCAGAUGACCCCUAUUGAGUGACUCAAAAUAGUAAAAUGGUUUCCGGAUGAUAACUCAAGAAUGCUUAGGCCUAGGAUCAUGAAACUUCAAAGGUACAUUGAUCAUGACUGUGAGAUGACCCCUAUUGAUUUUCAGGUCACUAGGUCAAAGGUCAAGGUCACAGUGACUCGAAAUAGUAAAAUGGUUUUCGGAUGAUAAUUCAAGAAUGCUUACACCUAGGAUCAUGAAACUUCAUAGGAACAUUGAUCAUGACUGGCAGAUGACCCCUAUAGUUUUUCAGGUCACUAGGUCAAAGGUCAAGGUCACAGUGACUCGAAACAGUAAAAUGGUUUCCGCAUGAUAACUCAAGAAUGCUUUACGCCUAGGAUCAUGAAACUUCAUAGGUACAUUGAUAAUGACUGGCAGAUGACCCCUAUUGACUUUCAGGUCACUUGGUCAAAGGUCAAGGUCACAGUGACAAAAACAUAUUCACACAAUGGCUGCCACAACAACUGACAGCCCAUAUGGGGGGCAUGCAUGUUUUACAAACAGCCCUUGUUAUUUUAUAAAAGUUAAAAAGGAGCCAGUUUUUGUUGUAGAUUUGGGUCUAAAUUGCUGGGUGAUUUAAUUACCUGCCUCAAGUGUCAUAAUGAAACCCCUGCCUCUU